GUCCAUGGCCAUACCACCUUAAACCCACCCGAUCUCCUCUGAUCUUGGAAGCUAAGCAGGGUCGGGCCUGGUUAGUGCUUGGAUGGGAGAAAUCAGAUCCAGGAAGCCGAUC
rnacentral:rRNA from 1 species